CCGUCUCCUCUCUUUGGUGGCGAACUUACAAAUGAAUCAGCCGACUGCAUUCCAACCAAAAAGGUAUGGUCAAUUACAUAUUUAAAUUUCAAUCCAAGAUACUAUUUAAGUAAUUUAUAAUAUCAUUUUUUUUUAGAAUUGUACUAAAGGAAAUCAUGAUUAUGAUGAGAAUUCAGAUCUGAACCUCAGGUCCGGAGAAACUGGCAGGAGUAUUUGGCGUGCUAGAUUCAGUAGAACCAAAAGAAUCAGAGUGAUCAGCAAUCAACUUCUGCAUAGGCUUUGGCGGAACAAUCUCAAGAACAUCAAUGUACCAGAAAAUCCAAUCCUGAGUAGCUGAC
rnacentral:lncRNA from 1 species